GUCUACAGCCAUGCCACUCUGAAUGUGCCCAAUCUCAACUGAUCUUGGAAGCCAAGCAGGGUCAGGCCUAGUUCAUACUUGGAUGGGAGACAGUCUGGGACUACUGAGUACUGUCUGGU
rnacentral:rRNA from 1 species